GACGAGGGCGACUGGUGGGUCUCGCAAGGGUCCCGACUGAUGUUGGCUCUUGUCAUCCUUGGGGAGAGCCAGGCUGGCAUUAGUUUGUCGGCUUGGGGAUCCUCAUCGUUUACUGUGAAAAAAUUAGAGUGUUCAAAGCAGGCUUAGGCCCUGAAUACAUUAGCAUGGAAUAAUAAGAUAGGACCUUGGUGGUCUAUUUUGUUGGUUUGCACGCCAAGGUA
rnacentral:rRNA from 1 species